UACGUAGGGUGCUAGCGUUGUUCGGAAUCAUUGGGCGUAAAGCGCGUGUAGGCGGUCAAUAAAGUUGGGUGUGAAAGCCCUCGGCUCAACCGAGGAAGUGCAUCCAAAACUAAUUGGCUAGAAGAUGGUAGAGGGAGGUGGAAUUCCUAGUGUAGAGGUGAAAUUCGUAGAUAUUAGGAGGAAUACCGGUGGCGAAGGCGGCCUCCUGGGCCAUUCUUGACGCUGAGACGCGAAAGCGUGGGUAGCAAACAGG
rnacentral:rRNA from 1 species